AUGUCCCCAUGAGUUCCCUUUAAGGCUUUAACGCUUCAUUGUUAAUACUCUCUUUUUUUUAGUCAUUGUUAAUACUCAAAAGCCACAUUUAUUUUCUUAAACGUUUGGUCAGUUUUGUAUGUAACACUGAAGUGUUUGGGGGGACUCUUGGUGCCAU
rnacentral:pre_miRNA from 1 species